rnacentral:rRNA from 1 species
UACGAAGGGAGCUAGCGUUGUUCGGAAUCACUGGGCGUAAAGCGCACGUAGGCCGAUUGUUAAGUCAGGGGUGAAAUCCUGGGGCUCAACUCCAGAACUGCCCUUGAUACUGACGGUCUCGAGUCCGGGAGAGGUGAGUGGAACUGCGAGUGUAGAGGUGAAAUUCGUAGAUAUUCGCAAGAACACCAGUGGCGAAGGCGGCUCACUGGCCCGGUACUGACGCUGAGGUGCGAAAGCGUGGGGAGCAAACAGG